rnacentral:rRNA from 1 species
AGUGAACGCUGGCGGCAGGCCUAACACAUGCAAGUCGAACGGCAGCACAGUAAGAGCGUGCUCUCAGGGGUGGCGAGUAGCGGACGGGUGAGGAAUACAUCGGAAUCUACGUUUUCGUGGGGGAUAACGUAGGGAGACAGACGCUAAUACCGCAUACGACAUACGGGAGAAAGCAGGCGAAAUACGGACCUUGCGCGAAUGAAUGAGCCGAGUUCGAAUGAGUUAGUUGGCGGGGGAAGGGCCCACCAAGGGGACGAUCCGUAGCUGGUCUGAGAGGAUGUCCAGCACACCUGGAACUGGACCCCGCUCCAGACUCCUACGGGAGCCGGCGGUGGGGAAUUUUGGACAUUGGGCGCAAGCCUGCUCCGGCCAUCCCGCGUGGGUGAAGAGGGCCUUCGGUUUUUAAAGUCCUUUGGUUGGGAAGAACAAGCGUCAGGUUAAUACCCCGAUGUUCUGACGGUACCCUAAGAGUAAGCGCCGGCUAACUUCGUG